UACAGAGGGUGCAAACGUUGCUCGGAAUUAUUGGGCGUAAAGCGCAUGUAGGCGGCAUAGUAAGUUCGCUGUGAAAGCCCUUGGCUCAACCAAGGAAGUGCAGCGAAAACUGCUAAGCUCGAGUUCUGAAGAGGGUCGCGGAAUGGCCAGUGUAGAGGUGAAAUUCGUAGAUAUUGGCUAGAACACCAGUGGCGAAGGCGGCAUCCUGGACCGGUAUUGACGCUGAGGCGGCGAAAGCCAGGGGAGCAAACGGG
rnacentral:rRNA from 1 species